rfam:Trichuris suis scaffold98.2, whole genome shotgun sequence.
GGCAGCGUGGCCGAGCGGUCCAAGGCGCCAGACUCAAGUGCAAACUUGCCUGCUUACAGCAGGUUUGAGGGUUCUGGUCAGUGAAUACUGGCGUGGGUUCGAAUCCCACCGCUGUCA